rnacentral:rRNA from 1 species
AGCUCCAAUAGCGUAUAUUGAAGUUGCUGCGGUUGAAAAGCUCGUAGUUGGAUUUCUGCUGAGGACGAUCGGUCCGCCCUCUGGGUGAGCACCUGGUUCGUCCUUGGCAUCUUCCUGGGGAGCGUGGCUGUACUUGACUGUGUGGCGCGGUGUCUGGGACUUUUACUUUGAGGAAAUUAGAGUGUUUCAAGCAGGCUCACGCCUUGAAUACAUUAGCAUGGAAUAAUAAGAUAGGACCUUAGUUUUAUUUUGUUGGUUUCUAGAGCUGAGGUAAUGAUUAAUAGGGAUAGUUGGGGGCAUUCGUAUUUAACUGUCAGAGGUGAAAUUCUUGGAUUUG